GAGGGUGAAAGCCCAUGACCCAUUGCAAUGCCGUGUUCUGCACGUUAAACAUAGUCGUGUUGGCUUCGGACACACGUUAAAGACGCGAAAAAGCCCUGUUUACGAAUCUAAUGUGAAAGAACUUUACAACCAAUGACGUUGGAUCCCUUGGCAUGCCUGAUCGAUGAAGACCGUUGCCAACUGCGAUAAGUGGUGUGAUGCGCAAGUCUAAAACUUAUAAGUGAACCAUCGAAUUGUUGAACGCACUGCACCGAGCUCUACCCGAGCACGGUAUGUCCCAUUGAGCGCUAUUAAUGUCUUCGAGAGGGCUGAUCUUUGGUUGGCACCCGGGUUCGGAGUCCACAGUGCCCUUGCACUGCGUUCUCUCAGAUGGAUUUGAAUGGUGUCUGGUUGCACUGGAACCUCUAUGUCAUGAGAAUGCAUGGAGUGCCCGUUAAGCGCCUGAUGCCUGGGACAGCACAGAUGAUGGCUGUCCAAGCAUGCUUAAUUGAGAAUGUAGCCUCACUGGGACAAGACAACCCGCUAGACUUAAGCAUAUUAAUCAGCGGAGGAAAAGAAACUAACUAGGAUUCCCUCAGUAACUGCGAGUGAAGCGGGAUGAGCUCAAUGUGUGAA
rnacentral:rRNA from 1 species